CUACGGGCUGCUGCAGUGAGGAAUAUUGCACAAUGGGGGGAACCCUGAUGCAGCAACGCCGCGUGGAGGAUGACGCAUUUCGGUGUGUAAACUCCUUUUAUAUGUCAAGAAAAUGACGGUAGCAUAUGAAUAAGCACCGGCUAACUCCGUGCCAGCAGCCGCGGUAAUACGGAGGGUGCAAGCGUUACUCGGAAUCACUGGGCGUAAAGGACGCGUAGGCGGGUUGGAAAGUCAGGUGUGAAAUCCUACAGCUUAACUGUAGAACUGCACUUGAAACUUCUAAUCUAGAGUAUGGGAGGGGGAUAUGGAAUUGGUGGUGUAGGGGUAAAAUCCGUAGAUAUCACUAGGAAUACCUAAAGCGAAGGCGAUCUCCUGGAACAUUACUGACGCUAAGGCGUGAAAGCGUGGGGAGCAAACAGGAUUAGAUACCCUCGUAGUC
rnacentral:rRNA from 1 species